GGUAUAGCUCACUGAGAAGGCCCCUGGGUUCAAUCCCCAGUAUCACAGGAAGGGGAGGGAGGGAGGAGAGAAAAACAUAAAUCCAAUCUGGCCCUUCCCUUCCCAGCUCACAUGGGCAGUACCAUGGCUCUGAGUAACAUCCAGGCACUGUAUGGUGGCCCAGAAGACCCAGACCCCUCCCUGUCCAGCUCCUGCCACACCCAUCCUUGCCCCAUAUUUGUGACACUGCUGGUGAGGUGAGGUCAUCCCCACACUGUGUCCUGCUCUUCCAUCCUUUGCACCUGCCAGUCCUCCUGCCCAAAACCCCUGCCUUGGAGGAGGUGGACGGCUCCUCCUCCCCCUGCAGGGCUCAGCUGAACUCCAGUUUCCCUCAUCCUUUGUUCAAAGCUCAAAUCACAGUCUGGAACCACUCUGCUCUGCGCUUAUUGUGUGCACCCCUCCCCAGAACAUCAGCCCCUUGAAGGGGGACCCAGUCUGUCUUGAUCACCUCUGGAUCCCCAGUGCCAAAACAGGACAGGAAUGAGAUGUGCUUUUCCAAGAGGGCUUCCUGGGUCACAGGCUGGGGACGGAUUUUUGUUUUUGUGUUUUUGUAGUACUGGAGAUUGAGCCCAAGGCCAUCACACUGAGCUCCAUCCCUAGCCAUUUUUUUUAAAUUUUUUUUAUUUUUUUUGGUACUGUUGAACUCGGGACCUUGCACUUGCGAGGCAGGUGGCAGAACCACUAAGCUAAAUCCCCGGCCCCUCCCUUUUUAGUUUUUUAUUUUGGGGCAGAAUAGUCUCAUUAAGUUGCCCAGGCUGGGCUCAAACUUCUGCAGUCUUCCUGCCUCAGCCCCCCGCCCCGUAGGGAACAUUUUGUGGCCCACUUGUGCCCACCUUGUCCCCCACUUGGGAUAUCAGUAGGCUCAGUCAUCUGGACUUUGUGUUCUCUGUUACCUACACAGUGCCUCUGCAGCUACUUUCAUUAAUGUAGGAAAACCCAUUUUACCAGGACAAACCUGUUUCAUGAACUAGACUCAACUAUUUUUGAGAACUGGCAGAAAGUGACCAAGGCCUCAGGGAGACCAAGGGGUAUGUGAUAUGUCGCUGUUCUUUGGGAGCCUCCAGCAUCUUGAGGACACACCUGUCACUGAUUAAAAAAAACAAGCCACACACACACACACACAAAACAAGCCACAGCUGGAAUUUUAGCACUCAGGAGGCUGAGGCAGGAGGAUUGCCAAGAGUUUGAGGCCAGCCUGGACUACAUAGCAAGACCCUGUCAAAAGUAAUUUUUUUGUGUGUACCAGAGAUGGAACUCAGCACUUUGGGUUUUGAGGCAGGUGGCGACACCACUGAGCUAAAUCCUGGGCCCAAAAAAUAAAUAAAUUUUUUUAAAAAUUAAAGAAUAAAACAAGCCCUUGGACUAGGCAUAGUGACACAUGCCCAUAAUCCCAGCUACUGGGGAGGCUGAGGCAGGAGAAUCACAGUUCAUGGCCAGCCUGGACCACUUAGCAAGAUCUGUCUCAAGAAACAAAACAUAAACACUAGCCCUUGAGCCAGGCAUGGUGCUGCAUACCUGUAAUCCCAGGUAACUGGAAUGCUGAGAUAGAAGGAUCACAUGUUCAAGGCCAGCCUAGGGAAUUUAGUAAGACCCUGUCUCAAGACAUAUUUUUAAAAAGGAAUGGGGAUGUAGCUCAGUGGUAGAGCCCUUGUCUAGCACAUUUGAGGCUCUGGGCCCAGGCCCCAUUGCACACAAAUACACACACUCCUAGCCCUUGGUUACCUGACAGGAGUGAGUCCCCAGGCAGUUAAGUGCUCUGUGCCACAGAAAUGGGGUGGACACCAUGCAAAAGAAAAGGGGAAGAGCCACCUGCCACGGGUGGAGACCCAGACGCAGCUGGAGCAUGCGCGCAUUGGGGAGCUGGAGCAGAGCCUGCUACUGGAGAAGGCGCAGGCGGAGCGGCUGCUCCGAGAAUUGGCGGACAACAGGCUGACCACGGUGGCCGAGAAGUCGCAUGUUGCAGCUGGAGGAGGAGCUGAGCCUGCGGUGGCGGCGAGAUCGAGCAGCUGCAGCAGUGCCUGCUGCACGCUGGGCCCC
ensembl:lncRNA